rnacentral:rRNA from 1 species
GGCGGCGUGCCUAAUACAUGCAAGUCGAACGCUUCUUUUUCCACCGGAGCUUGCUCCACCGGAAAAAGAGGAGUGGCGAACGGGUGAGUAACACGUGGGUAACCUGCCCAUCAGAAGGGGAUAACACUUGGAAACAGGUGCUAAUACCGUAUAACAAUCGAAACCGCAUGGUUUUGAUUUGAAAGGCGCUUUCGGGUGUCGCUGAUGGAUGGACCCGCGGUGCAUUAGCUAGUUGGUGAGGUAACGGCUCACCAAGGCGACGAUGCAUAGCCGACCUGAGAGGGUGAUCGGCCACAUUGGGACUGAGACACGGCCCAAACUCCUACGGGAGGCAGCAGUAGGGAAUCUUCGGCAAUGGACGAAAGUCUGACCGAGCAACGCCGCGUGAGUGAAGAAGGUUUUCGGAUCGUAAAACUCUGUUGUUAGAGAAGAACAAGGAUGAGAGUAACUGUUCAUCCCUUGACGGUAUCUAACCAGAAAGCCACGGCUAACUACGUGCCAGCAGCCGCGGUAAUACGUAGGUGGCAAGCGUUGUCCGGAUUUAUUGGGCGUAAAGCGAGCGCAGGCGGUUUCUUAAGUCUGAUGUGAAAGCCCCCGGCUCAACCGGGGAGGGUCAUUGGAAACUGGGAGACUUGAGUGCAGAAGAGGAGAGUGGAAUUCCAUGUGUAGCGGUGAAAUGCGUAGAUAUAUGGAGGAACACCAGUGGCGAAGGCGGCUCUCUGGUCUGUAACUGACGCUGAGGCUCGAAAGCGUGGGGAGCAAACAGGAUUAGAUACCCUGGUAGUCCACGCCGUAAACGAUGAGUGCUAAGUGUUGGAGGGUUUCCGCCCUUCAGUGCUGCAGCUAACGCAUUAAGCA